CUUGGUCAUUUAGAGGAAGUAAAAGUCGUAACAAGGUCUCCGUAGGUGAACCUGCGGAGGGAUCAUUACAAGAACGCCCGGGCUACGGCCUGGUUAUUCAUAACCCUUUGUUGUCCGACUCUGUUGCCUCCGGGGCGACCCUGCCUUCGGGCGGGGGCCCCGGGUGGACACUUCAAACUCUUGCGUAACUUUGCAGUCUGAGUAAACUUAAUUAAUAAAUUAAAACUUUUAACAACGGAUCUCUUGGUUCUGGCAUCGAUGAAGAACGCAGCGAAUUGCGAUAAGUAUUGUGAAUUGCAGAUUUUCGUGAAUCAUCGAAUCUUUGAACGCAUAUUGCACUCUAUAGUAUUCUGUAGAGUAUGCUUGUUUGAGCGUCAUUUCAUUCUUAAACCUCUAGGUUUAGUAUUGGAGGAUGUAAUUCUUUAUGGAUAACUCUUCUGAAAUGACUUGGCAUCUUUACCUUGUGUAAAUCUAAGCUUGUAUGAACUUAUUAUUAGGUCUAACCAACUAAUGAGUACUCAUCUGGCGUCUUACCCAAGGGUUUAUUAAAGUGCCUAACAAAAUUUAUCAUUAAUUUUGACCUCAAAUCAAGUAAGGAUACCCACUGAACUUAAGCAUAUCAAUAAGCGGAGGA
rnacentral:rRNA from 1 species